UACGAAGGGGGCUAGCGUUGCUCGGAUUGACUGGGCGUAAAGGGCGCGUAGGCGGUUCGUACAGUCAGACGUGAAAUUCCUGGGCUCAACCUGGAGGCUGCGUUUGAUACGUGCGGACUUGAGUGCGGAAGAGGGUCGUGGAAUUCCCAGUGUAGAGGUGAAAUUCGUAGAUAUUGGGAAGAACACCGGUGGCGAAGGCGGCGACCUGGUCCGAUACUGACGCUGAGGCGCGAAAGCGUGGGGAGCAAACAGG
rnacentral:rRNA from 1 species